CCUACGGGUGGCAGCAGUGAGGAAUAUUGGUCAAUGGACGAGAGUCUGAACCAGCCAAGUAGCGUGAAGGAUGACUGCCCUAUGGGUUGUAAACUUCUUUUAUAUGGGAAUAAAAUGUUCCACGUGUGGGAUUUUGUAUGUACCAUAUGAAUAAGGAUCGGUUAACUCCGUGCCAGCAGCCGCGGUAAUACGGAGGAUCCGAGCGUUAUCCGGAUUUAUUGGGUUUAAAGGGAGCGUAGGUGGAUUGUUAAGUCAGUUGUGAAAGUUUGCGGCUCAACCGUAAAAUUGCAGUUGAAACUGGCAGUCUUGAGUACAGUAGAGGUGGGCGGAAUUCGUGGUGUAGCGGUGAAAUGCUUAGAUAUCACGAAGAACUCCGAUUGCGAAGGCAGUUCACUGGACUGCAACUGACACUGAGGCUCGAAAGUGUGGGUAUCAAACAGGAUUAGAUACCCGUGUAGUC
rnacentral:rRNA from 1 species